rnacentral:rRNA from 1 species
UACGGGGGGGGUAAGCGUUGUUCGGAAUUACUGGGCUUAAAGGGCUCGUAGGCGGCCAACUAAGUCAGACGUGAAAUCCCUCAGCUUAACUGGGGAACUGCGUCUGAUACUGGAUGGCUUGGAUCCGGAAGAGGGAUGCGGAAUUCCAGGUGUAGCGGUGAAAUGCGUAGAUAUCUGGAGGGACACCGGUGGCGAAGGCGGCUCUCUGGAUUGCUACUGGCACUGAGGCGCGAAAGCUAGGGGAGCAAAC